AAAAAGCUCAAAAUCAAAUUCGUAUAUAUACAUAAGGUUUUAUGGGUAUAAUCACUUUUCUCAACAAGAAAGGUCGGUUCCAAGGCUCCUAAGUUCAUAAAUAUUGUGUUUUUCCCUCUUUAGUAGUCAGUAUAAAUACAACAACUCCUCAAAUAAAGUGUAGUCAGUAUCUAUGACUUAAAAUAUUUAAUAAUAGUAUAAAGAUGUAUAGCUUCAACAAUUGUUUAUAUAGGUUCUUGCUAAAUUUAUUUGAGUUUAACUAAUUGUUUAUAUUGUUUUUACUAAAUAUAUUUGAAUUCGGCUAUUAAUGUCCUUCGCAAAUCAUCCAGUGUUUGAUUUUUUGUUUCAUUGAUGUUUGAGAUUUUUUAUGUCAAUUGAUUUACUUGUGAAAAAAUUAAAUUAUUUGUAUUAUCAUGUGAUUCUAAUGAAGAAUUUGUUGUGUGCAUACAAUUUGAUUUCAGAUCUUUUAAUUCUUGAUGGAUGAACGAAGAGAUACAUGUUGCUAUUGGCGCCCCUAAAUCCCUAGAACUAUGCACCCUUUGAGCUAAAUAGUUCUUACGUGAAAGUGAAGGUAAGGCUUGUCCUCCUAUGAAAUCCACUGUUCAUGGUUAUUUCCUUUUAUAUGUAUAUUCCUCUUAGGCAAACACAAUCUCUUCCUUCUUAGAGAUACUAACGGUGGUGAAUCUUUUAUUUUUAUCCAUACCAUACCACUUAAGUUUCUAAGAUUUAUUGAUAACAACAAGCAGCGAGAAGGUCAACAAGGGAGAAAAGAUUAUGAUGUCAAAUUUAAAAGUUAUUCUGUGACCUUGUGUUUCUUUACAGUAGCAUUAACUACAGAAGAAUGGUUAAAUUAUGAAAAAGCAAAGGGUUGUCCACAUUGGGAAAGAGACGCAAGAAGAGACUAACGUUUUAGACAAGAAUUAAACUUGGGAAUUGGUACCCAAACUAGAAAAAUGUAAUUCAGUCACUUGAAGAAAAAAUUCUGAUGAUAUCAUUGAUAGGAUUAGAUGCAGACUUGGAAAAAGGACCUAUUGCAGAACUAACAAGAGAGUGCAUUCGACCACAUGACUCUUGACUAAUCAAAUUGGGGGCAAAAGUCUGGGACUAAAAUCUAUCACAUGCUCAAGCUCUCGCUAUAUGCAUGGUUCGGUAAAGUUCGAG
rnacentral:lncRNA from 1 species